UUGAACUAAUUGUUAUCAGCCUUUCUGAAACCGAAUAUUCCGAGUUGGACAGUUCGGGGUUACUCAAUCCUGAGUAUCAUUUUUAACUCUGAGUUUUCCCUGUUUCAGAAAGCCGGUUUAGUGCAAACUCUGAGGCCCUGGUCCUGCACUGGUGUCUAUCAGCUUAAUGACUUGCAGAGAGAGGGACUGUGGAAACUCAGCCUGUUCAGAGGUUAUGGAGUUUUCCAAAAAGCCAGCAGCACAUAGCCCGGUGGCGAUGACACUUGGUCCCUGAGAUGGACUAGGUAUACAGGGAGUACCUCGCCCAGUAACAGCAGCAGCAGGACAAGCAGUGGAUGGAUGGAUGGAUGGAUGGAUGGAUGGACGAACAGACCAGAUGGUGCAAAGGACCUUACUAUGGAGUCAACCACUGACUGCACUGCAUAAAUCUGCAAGAUGACCUGGAUGGUGGAGCCCUUCGUGCCUCGCAGAAGCAUUUUCAGAACCUAAAAGUAUCUCAGAUUUCAAAGGCUGAUAUGAGUCCCAGAUUUCUGCUCACAUUUCUCUUUGAGCAGCAGUCGCACGCCGCCACAUCGCCACUCUGUCCCACAUCUGUUCCUGUCCCUUCCUGUUUUACAGCACACUGUCCUUGGAUAGCCUGAUAGGUUCUUAAAGUCCAAUUUAUCAUUGUUAUGCAUUUCUGCGAACAGCCUCCAGCA
ensembl:lncRNA